UUUAUUGGAUGAGCAACGAAAGUGGCUUCUUGAGAUGGAAUCUGCCUUUAGUGGAGGUGCUGGGAA
rnacentral:pre_miRNA from 1 species